CAACAGGGAUUCCCUUAGUAACGGCGAGUGAAGAGGGAGUAAGCCCAGCGCUGAAUCGUUUUGUUUGCAAAAACUCAACGACAUGUAGCGUGAAGCUGGCGGCUAUUGCUAUUGUCAAUGCAUGUAAGUCUCCUUGAGCGGGGCUCAGUUCCAUUGAGGGUGCUAGGCCCGUAUCGUGCAUGGCAAGUAUAGCAAUGUUCGCUUGCAGAGAGUCAGGUUGCUUGGGAACGCAAUCUAAAGACGGUGGUACACUCCAUCGAAGGCUAAAUACGAUCACAAGUCCGAUAGCGAACAAGUACCGUGAGGGAAAAUUGAAAAGCACUUUGAAGAGAGAGUGAAAUAGUGCGUGAAACCGCUUAGAUGUAAGCAGAUGGGCCCUCGAAGGUGUGCUUAAGAUAAAACGUAUUGAACAUUAUAAUAAUAAUAAUAUAACGUUUUCUUAGUUCGCACGCCACCGCCAUUGCAGUUUUUUUAUAAGGUAUGCCAAUCGUUAGUAUUUGGACUCUUGAGAUUGGGACUUGUGUGCCCGCUUGAGAAGUUCAGUGCUAAUUGUAUUGAGUGUUUUGCGAUACGCUGUAAUGGAGCAGGGCAUUUGGUCGUCGCUGUAAAGCGCUGGCUAUUACUGCUUGCUGGCUUAUAUUUGCGCUGACGAGAUGCAAGUUUCGCUGCGUAAUAUAUUGCUGCAAAACGGCUAAUAGCACCGGCUAGGCGACUAAUAUAAAUAAAGACC
rnacentral:rRNA from 1 species